rnacentral:rRNA from 1 species
AUUGAACGCUGGCGGCAGGCCUAACACAUGCAAGUCGAGCGGAGCGGCGGACGGGUGAGUAAUGCCUAGGAAUCUGCCUGGUAGUGGGGGAUAACGUCCGGAAACGGGCGCUAAUACCGCAUACUAUCAGAUGAGCCUAGGUCGGAUUAGCUAGUUGGUGGGGUAAAGGCCUACCAAGGCGACGAUCCGUAACUGGUCUGAGAGGAUGAGCAGUCAACCGUGAAAUGAGACACGGUCCAGACUCCUACGGGAGGAAGCAGUGGGGAAUUUUGGGCAAUGGGGGAAAACCUGAUCCAGCCAUUCCGGGUGGUUGAAGAAGGUCUUCGGAUUGUAAAGCACUUUAAGUUGGGAGGCGUUACCAACAGAAUAAGCACCGGCUAACUUCGUGCCAGCAGCCGCGGUAAUUC